rnacentral:rRNA from 1 species
GACGAACGCUGGCGGCGUGCUUAACACAUGCAAGUCGAACGGAAAGGCCCUGCUUUUGUGGGGUGCUCGAGUGGCGAACGGGUGAGUAACACGUGAGUAACCUGCCCUUGACUUUGGGAUAACUUCAGGAAACUGGGGCUAAUACCGGAUAGGAGCUCCUGCUGCAUGGUGGGGGUGGGAAAGUUUCGGCGGGUGGGGAUGGACUCGCGGCUUAUCAGCUUGUUGGUGGGGUAGUGGCUUACCAAGGCUUUGACGGGUAGCCGGCCUGAGAGGGUGACCGGCCACAUUGGGACUGAGAUACGGCCCAGACUCCUACGGGAGGCAGCAGUGGGGAAUAUUGCACAAUGGGCGGAAGCCUGAUGCAGCAACGCCGCGUGCGGGAUGACGGCCUUCGGGUUGUAAACCGCUUUCGCCUGUGACGAAGCGUGAGUGACGGUAAUGGGUAAAGAAGCACCGGCUAACUACGUG